AACGAACGCUAGCGGUGUGGAUUAGGCAUGCAAGUCGCGCGCGAAAGCCUUCGGGCGAGUAAAGCGGCGAAAGGGUGAGUAACACGUAACCAACGUACCCCUCAGACUGGGAUAACCACUGGAAACGGUGGAUAAUACCGGAUGGUCCACUGGGCAGCAUUGCCUGGCUGGUAAACGGCGGCCGCAAGGCGGUUGCUGAGGGAGCGGGUUGCGGCCUAUCAGCUUGUUGGUGAGGUAACGGCUCACCAAGGCUAUGACGGGUAACAGGUCUGAGAGGAUGAUCUGUCACACUGGGACUGAGACACUGCCCAGACUCCUACGGGAGGCUGCAGUCGAGAAUCUUCCACAAUGGGCGAAAGCCUGAUGGAGCGACACCGCGUGCAGGAU
rnacentral:rRNA from 1 species